rnacentral:misc_RNA from 1 species
AAAGUCGUAACAAGGUUUCCGUAGGUGAACCUGCGGAAGGAUCAUUACAAAUCGAGGGGGGGGCUUGGGUGGUGGUGGGGAGUGGUGGAGGUGUUGAGAGAGGCGGCUCUGGCCGCCUAGCCCGACACUGGCCUACCUACCCUUCAACCCGCAAGGCGCCCUCACAUACGCACAAGGCCGCAAGGUCUUGAUGUUUACGCUUGCUUGUUUGACAGAUUUAUUGGUGACAAAAUAUAGACAACUUUUAACAAUGGAUCUCUUGGCUCUU